GACGAACGCUGGCGGCGUGCCUAAUACAUGCAAGUAGAACGCUGUUGCGAACGGGUGAGUAACGCGUAGGUAACUGCCUCAUAGUGGCGGAUAACUAUUGGUAACGAUAGCUACUAAUGCAUAUUGUGAGAUGGACAUGCGUUGUAUUAGCUAGUUGGUGAGGUAAAGGCUCACCAAGGCGACGAUACAUAGCCGAACUGAGAGGGUGAUCGGCCAAAAGGGGAAAGAGAAACGGGCCAGACUGCUACGGGAGGCAGCAGGAGGGAAAAUUGGGCAAUGGACGGAAGACGGACCGGGCAACGGCGCGAGAGGGGAGGAGGGGUUCGGAGCUGAAAGAUCGGUUGGUAGAGAAGCGGUAACUAAACAGAAAGGGACGGCUAACUACGUGCCAGCAGCCGCGGUAAUUC
rnacentral:rRNA from 1 species